rnacentral:rRNA from 1 species
GAGCUUGAUCCUGGCUCAGGACGAACGCUGGCGGCGUGCCUAAUACAUGCAAGUCGAGCGGAGUUGAUGAGGUGCUUGCACCUCUGAUACUUAGCGGCGGACGGGUGAGUAACACGUGGGUAACCUGCCUAUAAGACUGGGAUAACAUUCGGAAACGAAUGCUAAUACCGGAUACGCGAUUUGGUCGCAUGAUCGAAUCGGGAAAGAUGGAGCAAUCUAUCACUUAUAGAUGGACCCGCGGCGCAUUAGCUAGUUGGUGAGGUAACGGCUCACCAAGGCGACGAUGCGUAGCCGACCUGAGAGGGUGAUCGGCCACACUGGGACUGAGACACGGCCCAGACUCCUACGGGAGGCAGCAGUAGGGAAUCUUCCGCAAUGGACGAAAGUCUGACGGAGCAACGCCGCGUGAGUGAUGAAGGUUUUCGGAUCGUAAAGCUCUGUU